GACGAACGCUGGCGGCGCGCUUAACACAUGCAAGUCGAGCGAUGAAACUGUAACAGCACCCUUCGGGGCGAAGAUAAAGUGGAUUAGCGGCGGACGGGUGAGUAACACGUGAGUAACCUGCGUUAGACAUUGGGAUAGCCUCGGGAAACCGGGAUUAAUACCAAAUAAAAUCAUAAUGACACAUGUCAUAACGAUCAAAACUCCGGUGGUCUAAGAUGGAAUCGCGUCGCAUUAGCUAGGUGGUAGAGUAAAAGCCUACCAAGGCGACGAUGGGUAGCCGGCCAGAGAGGGUGAACGGCCACAUUGGAACUGAGAAACGGUCCAAACUCCUACGGGAGGCAGCAGUGGGGAAUAUUGCACAAUGGAGGGAACUCUGAUGGAGCGACGCCGCGUGAACGAAGAAGGCUUUCGAGUCGUAAAGUUCUUUUAUAUGGGAAGAUAAUGACGGUACCAAAAGAAAAAGCCCCGGCUAACUACGUG
rnacentral:rRNA from 1 species